rnacentral:rRNA from 1 species
UACGUAGGGGGCAAGCGUUGUCCGGAUUUAUUGGGCGUAAAGAGCGUGUAGGCGGCCAUGUAGGUCCGUUGUGAAAACUCGAGGCUCAACCUCGAGACGCCGAUGGAAACCAUGUGGCUAGAGUCCGGAAGAGGAGAGUGGAAUUCCUGGUGUAGCGGUGGAAUGCGCAGAUAUCAGGAGGAACACCGGUGGCGAAGGCGGGUCUCGUGGGCCGAUACUGACGCUGAGGAGCGAAAGCGUGGGGAGCGAACAGG